AGAGUUUGAUCCUGGCUCAGAUUGAACGCUGGCGGCAGGCCUAACACAUGCAAGUCGAACGGUAACAGGAAGCAGCUUGCUUCUUUGCUGACGAGUGGCGGACGGGUGAGUAAUGUCUGGGAAACUGCCUGAUGGAGGGGGAUAACUACUGGAAACGGUAGCUAAUACCGCAUAACGUCGCAAGACCAAAGAGGGGGACCUUCGGGCCUCUUGCCAUCGGAUGUGCCCAGAUGGGAUUAGCUUGUUGGUGGGGUAACGGCUCACCAAGGCGACGAUCCCUAGCUGGUCUGAGAGGAUGACCAGCCACACUGGAACUGAGACACGGUCCAGACUCCUACGGGAGGCAGCAGUGGGGAAUAUUGCACAAUGGGCGCAAGCCUGAUGCAGCCAUGCCGCGUGUAUGAAGAAGGCCUUCGGGUUGUAAAGUACUUUCAGCGGGGAGGAAGGGAGUAAAGUUAAUACCUUUGCUCAUUGACGUUACCCGCAGAAGAAGCACCGGCUAACUCCGUGCCAGCAGCCGCGGUAAUACGGAGGGUGCAAGCGUUAAUCGGAAUUACUGGGCGUAAAGCGCACGCAGGCGGUUUGUUAAGUCAGAUGUGAAAUCCCCGGGCUCAACCUGGGAACUGCAUCUGAUACUGGCAAGCUUGAGUCUCGUAGAGGGGGGUAGAAUUCCAGGUGUAGCGGUGAAAUGCGUAGAGAUCUGGAGGAAUACCGGUGGCGAAGGCGACCCCCUGGACGAAGACUGACGCUCAGGUGCGAAAG
rnacentral:rRNA from 1 species